rnacentral:tRNA from 1 species
GUCGUAAUAGCUCAACGGGAGAGCGCCGGAUUGAAGCCCCGGAGAUGACAGUUCGACUCUGUCUUAUGACA